AGAGAACUAUGCUUGGAAGAAGCAGAUAAAAAAAUUGGAACUAGCUCUUAGAAAUUUACAAAGGGGGAGCCAUAAAAGUUGCAAGUUUUUUUAUAGUGAGGAAAUGAACACAAGGAGAGCAUGUUUUCUUUGGUUGUUAAGCCCUUGUUGAAAUUUGUGGUUGGGUCCCUGUUUUUAAGCUGGAUAGGAGGAAGAGCUCUUGAAGGAGGAAGUCUAGAGAUAGAACACUGAAUGACUUCUUAAGUGUUCCUGUCCAGGGUGAAUAUCUGUCAUUUCUCCUGAAAACAGGCUAGUUGGGUUUUUCAGGUGGUUCCUUGAGCAGCCAGUUGCCGUAAAUGUUUUUGCACAGUGUCAGAAGGCUGCUGGGUGGUUAUGCCUGUUUCCAGCCUCCCAAGUAAAAACUUGGGAUUCAGUGUUGAUCUUAGCUCUCUGAAAAAGUAAUACAGGUUUCCAAUGGAAUGAUUAAGUAGAAUACAAAUUAAGUGUAACCAAGUGUAAUUCAUUUAAGUUCAAUUCUCUGCAGAUCCAAGUAAAUUGACUAUGUGAUGCUCUUUAAAGUAGAGGUCCUGAAAUGAAUGAAAAUGUGAAAGACAAGGGUUCUGUGUAAGAGAACAAACAUUUUCUAUGCUAGAAUGUACUUAUUUUGAGUUUCAAUUUGCACACAGUUCAUUCUUUUUUAUUGUUGAAGGAGAAGUAAGUUUAGUGAUAUAAUUUAGGAUUACUUGGUGUCUUAGUCCAUUUGGGCUGCUGUGUAGUACAGUACCACAGACUGGGUAGCUUGUAAACAACAAAAUUUAUCUGUCACAGCUCAGGAGGCUGGAAGACCGUGAUCAGGGUGCCAGCCUGGUCAGAUGAGGGCCUCCUUUCCUCUCUCAGGUCAGAUUGCUGGCUUCUUGUUCUCACAUGGCAGAUGGGGCAAGGGAGCUCCCGGGGGCCUUUUAUAAAGGAGCUGUUUGUGAAAUGCAUAUGUGAGGGCUCUGCUGUUAUGACUUACGGCCCCCAAAAAACCCCACCUAAGUCCAAUACAUGGGGCAUUAGAAUUUCAACAUAUGAAUUUUGGUGGGGGACACAAAAGUUUUAGAGCAUAGAACUUGGACUUGUAGAACAACCAGGCUUCUCUAGUAAUGGUGUGGUGUCCUUUCCACCAUCCCUCCCUUAACAUCUCUCAGAACUCUGCCAGUAAAAAAUGAGUAUAGAAUAAAACCAGCAGUCCUCAGAGGAGGAGCUAUCUCUAAAAUGUAGCACAUUGUAUUAUGGAACCUGAAUUUUAAAGAGAAAUGUUGUGUUUCAUAGUACUUGGUUUUUGAUGGGUGUCUUUUUAUGAGGAAGGGAUUUUCUUCUUUUUUUAGUGACACAGAUAUAAUUCGCAUAUCACAGAAUUCACCAUUAAGUGUAUGGUUCAGUGGUUUUUAGUAUAUUCACAAAGUUAAUGCAACCGUCACUACUACGUGGUGGAUGCUUGUUAAUCACUGAGUAGUCUCAAAAGUGACCUCUUCAGGGUCACCAGAGUGCAGAAUCUUAUGUAAUUUUUUGUUCAGAAGGGCUCUUAGACUUUAUUAUGAUGUUAAGUGAUACCUGUUGACUGAGAGAUAAGUUUAGAUAGAAGAUAGAUGAGGUUAUUGACUGGAUUUUCCUUUUCCCAUGAGACUGGAAUCCCUACAGUAACAAAGUCUUCAGUGGGACAGUAACUAAAGUAGGCAGAGGAGGUGAGUGGAAAAUACUGUUCCAGGAGUGUUAUUUCUUUUCCUACCUCAUUUUCUAGCUAGUUAUUUCUUACCUUAACUUAAGCAAUUAUUAGAUUUGGGCUCUUAUUUCAUAAUUCUACAUGCUUGAAAUGGCUCCAGUGUGAGGAUUUAGGGAGUAAGUGAAGGCAUUACAUGAACCAGUGCUUUCCUCGUUGAGCAGCUGUUUGAACUGGUAAGAAAUUUUUAUUGAGAAUUGACCCUCUUUGGAGCAGCUUUUAUUUACUGCAGGUUUGGUACAUGGAAUUCUUCUGUCCCUUGUUUUUCACCUUCUCUGGAAUUGUACUGCAAGAAAAGAUAGCGAUUAAAAUUUCUCAGGGCGGGAAGUACAGUAGAUGACAGAUUUUAAGCCUUAUUUUGUUUUUGUUUGCUGGGGAGGAAAUGUCUUAAAGUAUUAAAAUAUUAAUGUUUUUCUAGUCGAAGAGAAAGGAAUGAAAAGGAUUCGAUAGUCUUUUGUGAAUGCAGGAUACUGUGCCAGGCACUUGAAGUGACACCACAAGAUGAAUUAAUCAUGGUCCUGGAGUCUAGAAAGAGGUCAGACCCCCAAUUUACUCUACUGGAAGACAUAACAUGGUUGAGAGGGUUUCAAAGCUGAGCAGAGGAGUUGUUCAUAGGUGCCCUUUGUAACUCAUUUCAAUCUUAUCCUAAUCAUAAACCUAGAGAUACA